GCUGGUGAAAUUAUACCCUAUUCCUGGCCCUACAGGAAAUUCAGUUACUGUUCUCUUUAAUCCUUUGUAUGGUUAUUUUCCCAAUCUCAGAUGGUUUUCUCACACUCAUGGUCUUGUUAAUACCCUAUGAAAACUGAGGGUGGGCCCUCUGAAGACCUCACAAAUUCUCUCUGCCCAUCUCUCUCCUCUGCUAUCCUCAGCCCUGUGAACUCUACUUGCCUUAUUCUCCUCUCAGUUGUGUCUCCUUGACUGGAGGAAUUUGAUGGUUUCCCCCUGGAUUUCCCCUCUGUGUGCCAUGGCCUGGAAAUUGUCUCAAGGGGUCAGAUCUCAGACUGUUCAUCAAUGGCCAGCAACCCUGGUGCAGCCUGUGGGCAGCCCGCUGUCUCUGGAGUGCACUGUGGAGGGAACAUCAAACCCCAACCUAUACUGGUACCGACAGGCUGCAGGCAGGGGCCUCCAGCUGCUCUUCUACUCCAUUGGUGUUGACCAGAUCAGCUCUGAGGUGCCCCAGAAUCUCUCAGCCUCCAGGCCCCAGGACAGGCAGUUCAUCCUGAGUUCUAAGAAGCUCCUCCUCAGUGACUCUGGCUUCUAUCUCUGUGCCUGGAGUGUCACACUGAGCUGGGUGGGGCAGACAUCUGUGCAAAAACUCCACCCUCUCCUGAGCCCUAACCAUUGUCCCCAGGAGCCCUCACCCAGGGACUGCAUGGAGGAUAUUUGUAACUAGGUUUCUGACUGCUGGCCAAUGUGAAAGCAAUGGAAUGAAGCUAGAAUUCUACAAAAGACUCUAGUAAGUUCUCAGGGAGAACAAAAAAUUGUAUGUAUGUAGAACCUGUGAUUUGCCUGCACAUAGUCAAGUUCUCCAUGUAUGGAUGUCCAGGCUUAGGCUACCAUACUCCAGCCCUCAAGGUGUGCUAUGCCUUGCCUGAUUUUCUCAUCUUCCAAAUUCCUCUGUGUGUGCCCUGGGGAGAGGGUUUGUGCCUAUAUGGCUGAGAGAAAUAGGAUAUACCUGUGGCACGAGGUGAGCUGGUGAACAAAUGGGAGGAUGCCAACUCAGGUUACUGAAUUGGUUAAUUUCAUCACCUGGAGAGUCUCCUGUCAUUGAUCUUUCUGCUGAGACUAGAAAUUCUGGGGAGGCUUAGACCUGAGGCUUUGACUAAGGCAAGGAGGUAAGAUGUUCAGGAGACUGUUCUCAUUUGAGGCAGAAGUGUAGUUUUGUUAGUAUAGGAAACAUGCGGUUAG